CCUACGGUAGGCUGCAGUGGGGAAUAUUGGGCAAUGGGCGCAAGCCUGACCCAGCAACGCCGCGUGAAGGAAGAAGGCUUUCGGGUUGUAAACUUCUUUUCUCAGGGACGAAGAAAGUGACGGUACCUGAGGAAUAAGCCACGGCUAACUACGUGCCAGCAGCAGCGGUAAUACGUAGGUGGCAAGCGUUAUCCGGAUUUAUUGGGUGUAAAGGGCGUGUAGGCGGGAGCGCAAGUCAGAUGUGAAAACUCAGGGCUCAACCCUGAGCCUGCAUUUGAAACUGUGUUUCUUGAGUACUGGAGAGGCAAUCGGAAUUCCGUGUGUAGCGGUGAAAUGCGUAGAUAUACGGAGGAACACCAGUGGCGAAGGCGGAUUGCUGGACAGUAACUGACGCUGAGGCGCGAAAGCGUGGGGAGCAAACAGGAUUAGAUACCCGUGUAGUC
rnacentral:rRNA from 1 species